CAGCAGCCACGGGAAUACGUAGGUGGCAAGCGUUAUCCGGAACUAUUGGGCGUAAAGGGCUCGCAGGCGGUUUCUUAAGUCUGAUGUGAAAGCCCCCGGCUCAACCGGGGAGGGUCAUUGGAAACUGGGAAACUUGAGUGCAGAAGAGGAGAGUGGAAUUCCACGUGUAGCGGUGAAAUGCGUAGAGACGUGGAGGAACACCAGUGGCGAAGGCGACUCUCUGGUCUGUAACUGACGCUGAGGAGCGAAAGCGUGGGGAGCGAACAGGAUUAGAGACCCGCGUAGUCCCUGUCUCUUAUAC
rnacentral:rRNA from 1 species